UAAACCUGAAGAGAGCCCUGAAUC
rnacentral:piRNA from 1 species